rnacentral:rRNA from 1 species
AGCGUGGAGACAGGUGGUGCAUGGCUGUCGUCAGCUCGUGUCGUGAGAUGUUGGGUUAAGUCCCGCAACGAACGCAACCCUCACCCCUUGUUGCCAUCAGGUCAUGCUGGGCACUCUAGGGGAACUGCCCCGGUCAACGGGGAGGAAGGCGGGGAUGACGUCAAGUCAUCAUGCCCCUUACGCCCUGGGCUACACACGUGCUACAAUGGCCGGUACAAAGGGAUGCGACGCCGUGAGGCAGAGCCUAACCCAAAAAGCCGGUCUAAGUUCAGAUUGGAGUCUGCAACUCGACUCCAUAAAGGAGGAAUCGCUAGUAAUCGCGUAUCAGCACGACGCGGUGAAUACGUUCCCGGGCCUUGUACACACCGCCCGUCACACCACGAAAGCCUGCUGUACUCGAAGUCGCUGAG